CGAACGGUAGACCCUUUCGGGGGUUGAGAGUGGCGAACGGGUGAGUAAUGCAUCGGAACGUACCCAGUCGUGGGGGAUAACGUAGCGAAAGUUACGCUAAUACCGCAUACGUCCUGAGGGAGAAAGCGGGGGACCGGUAACGGCCUCGCGCGAUUGGAGCGGCCGAUGUCAGAUUAGCUAGUUGGUGGGGUAAAGGCCUACCAAGGCGACGAUCUGUAGCGGGUCUGAGAGGAUGAUCCGCCACACUGGGACUGAGACACGGCCCAGACUCCUACGGGAGGCAGCAGUGGGGAAUUUUGGACAAUGGGCGCAAGCCUGAUCCAGCCAUGCCGCGUGCGGGAAGAAGGCCUUCGGGUUGUAAACCGCUUUCGGACGGAAAGAAAUCGCCAGGGCCAAUACCCCUGGUGGAUGACGGUACCGUAAGAAGAAGCACCGGCUAACUACGUGCCAGCAGCCGCGGUAAUACGUAGGGUGCGAGCGUUAAUCGGAAUUACUGGGCGUAAAGCGUGCGCAGGCGGCUUUUUAAGCCAGACGUGAAAUCCCCGGGCUUAACCUGGGAACUGCGUUUGGAACUGGAAGGCUAGAGUGUGUCAGAGGGG
rnacentral:rRNA from 1 species